UACGGGGGGGGCAAGCGUUGUUCGGAAUUACUGGGCGUAAAGGGCUCGUAGGCGGCCAACUAAGUCAGACGUGAAAUCCCUCGGCUUAACCGGGGAACUGCGUCUGAUACUGGGUGGCUUGAAUCCGGGAGAGGGAUGUGGAAUUCCAGGUGUAGCGGUAAAAUGCGUAGAUAUCUGGAGGAACACCAGUGGCGAAGGCGGCAUCCUGGACCGAGAUUGACACUGAGGAGCGAAAGCCAGGGGAGCAAACGGG
rnacentral:rRNA from 1 species